GCCCGGUUAGCUCAAUCGGUAGAGGUUAGUUGACUCUUCCAGCUCCUACUCUCUUCUCUUUACUAACUGUCCAAAUAGCGUGAGACUCUUAAUCUCAAGGUUGCGGGUUCGACCCCCGCAUCGGGCU